UACGGGGGGAGCAAGCGUUGUUCGGAUUUACUGGGCGUAAAGGGCGCGUAGGCGGUCAGUGCAAGUCAGUUGUGAAAUCUCCGGGCUUAACUCGGAACGGUCAACUGAUACUGCUCGACUAGAGUGCGGAAGGGGCAACUGGAAUUCUUGGUGUAGCGGUGAAAUGCGUAGAUAUCAAGUGGAACACCAGUGGCGAAGGCGAGUCUCCGGACAUUUCCUGACGCUGAGGCACGAAAGCCAGGGGAGCAAACGGG
rnacentral:rRNA from 1 species